AUGGGAGAAGAAACUGAGGUUCGCUGGGUUCAAGUCCUUUGCCCAAGAUCACACAACCAGGCAGCUUCAAAAUCCAUAAUCUUGUCUCGUCUCCUGCACUUUCCCUGCUUCAUGGCUCCUGUUCGCAGCUCCCUUUAUUUUGGCAGCAGAGGGCUCAGAGCCCGAGGGUGGGACACCUCUCCGAGGUGCAUCUGCGCCCCGGUCUUUGGCGCCGCCUGCCCCGUGCUGUCCUCAAGGCCGAGUGGACACGGCUUCUGGAGCCUCGCCCCCACGUGCCUGCAGCCUUGGGAGCCUCUCAGCCUUGGCUCCUGAGAAUCGAGGUGAAGUGCCUCUUCUCACCAUGGACACACACACAUACACACACACACACACUCGGUCCCCUACCUUGUCCGUAGCCUUCGCCUGUGGGAAGUCCCGCUCUUCUCCUUGAGCUUGGGCCUCUUGGAUUUGAUCAGAGAGUCUGACCAUAAUGUUUACAUCUCAGCUAAAAAAGAAAAAAAAAACAAAGCUGUAAGUCUCCCAGAACACAUACUUGGCCCAGAUUCUCCAAGGCAGGGGCGAUUCCAUGCAGAAAUGCUGUCACACAGGGGGACCCAAAUGGGAGCACCUAAGGGCGGAGGGGCGGGAGGGGAAAGGGUACAGCUGCCGGUGGGUGGGGGCCGAGGGGAGGGGGGCUCCUGCAGCGACGCGGGGGCACACCUGUGUACCACCUGUGCACCCAUGAUUGUGCAUUUGACCACAAAUAAUUGAACGUGUCCAGUGGGCCAGGCGGCGGGGGACUGAGCAGGGACCAAGAUCCAGUGCCGGCUCCCUGGAGCUCAGGGUCAAGUGGAGAGCUGCUGUAUCCUGUUGACACAGGUUGGUCAGAGCCACACGGGGGCUGCGACGUGAGGGGAGGCGCUCAGCCUGGGGGCGCUGGUGACCAGCACGUCUUCUGCACAAACUCUGAGCCUUCUCGCCAACGCCUCAACCUCGGCCUUGGACUUGAACAAGCACUAACAUACUUUCUAACAGCUCAAGGCUGCGUUCCUGGGAUGACUCCCGUCCCCUUAAAGUGCUGCCUGGGAAGAACUCAAGGCUGCCAAGAGAAUUCACUGUUUGUUCCAGCCAACACCUGAUGACAGCCACCUGCCACCGCUGCCUGCCUCCCAGCCUCUGGGGGAGCGCAGCAGCCUGACUUUGGUGAGUACCGGGGAGCAAACCCCGAUGGGGUUCACAUGGACUGACCCGCCUUCCCUCCUCCUAUAAGUUUUCACUGCCCUGUCUCUGCUCAAGCCCCUGCUACCCUGCAGUCACCUCCGCACACAUGCAAGGGCUUCAGCUCUUUCCCCAGCUGGCAGCCGUUGCCAAAUAAAAUCCAUUCUCACUGCUUCA
rnacentral:lncRNA from 1 species